CCUACGGGAGGCAGCAGUGAGGAAUAUUGGUCAAUGGACGAGAGUCUGAACCAGCUAAGUAGCGUGAAGGAUGACUGCCCGAUGGGUGGUAAACUUCUUUUAUAUGGGAAUAAAAUGUUCCAAGUGUGGGAUUUUGUAUGUACCAUAUGAAUAAGGAUCGGCUAACUCAGUGCCAGCAGCCGCGGUAAUACGGAGGAUCCGAGCGUUAUCCGGAUUUAUUGGGUUUCAAGGGAGCGUAGGUGGAUUGUUAAGUCAGUUGUGAAAGUUUGCGGCUCAACCGUAAAAUUGCAGUUGAAACUGGCAGUCUUGAGUACAGUAGAGGUGGGCGGAAUUCGUGGUGUAGCGGUGAAAUGCUUAGAUAUCACGAAGAACUCCGAUUGCGAAGGCAGCUCACUGGACUGCAACUGACACUGAGGCUCGAAAGUGUGGGUAUCAAACAGGAUUAGAUACCCUUGUAGUC
rnacentral:rRNA from 1 species